rnacentral:lncRNA from 1 species
GGAGCCUGGAACUGGGAGGCCACCAUGGUGGGACGGGGCCGGCUUCUCCAGGACACUCUGGUUUGUCCUAAGGCCUCUUGCUGCUAAACUCCUGGGCACUUCCCAUCACUACCAUUUUUUGCCACCUAAAGCCAUUUUCUGGAUCAUGAGCAGUCUUCACACAUGCCUCCCAAACCUUCAGCUGUGUCUCACUCAUUUGUCUGAUGCCCCCUCCCUCCAAAGAAACGGGCACAAGCAGAGAUGGUGGCUGUGGACACAAGGCUCACUGGGUCCUUCAGACAAAUCUGUGAGAGUCUUGCUGAGGACAGGCCAUGGCCAGGCCUGGGUUCUGUCGUGGGGGCCGUAGGGCGAGUGUGAGAGUCACUCACCUGAACACUGGGGACACCCCCACACCCAGAUUCCGUGUGGGUAAAAUCAUAAAACUGAGUGAGCUGUCGGUGCUGAACUGGACAUCCUGCAGAGGGGAGUGUGCGGACGGCUGCUCAGAAACCGCCUCUCAGUCUGGAGGGCAGCC